rnacentral:rRNA from 1 species
UAACCCGGCGGACGGCUCAGUAACACGUGGAUAACUUGCCCUUGGGUCCGGGUAUAACCCCUGAGAAAUUGGGGACAAUACCGGAUAGGGCAUCGAUAGCUGGAAUGCGCGAUGUCCAAAAGCUGAGGCGCCCAAGGAUAGGUCUGCGGCCGAUUAGGUUGUUGUUGAUGUAAUGGAUCAACAAGCCUGCAAUCGGUACGGGUUGUGAGAGCAAGAGCCCGGAGAUGGGUUCUGAGAAAAGAACCCAGGUCCUACGGGACGCAUCAGGCGCGAAAACUUUACAAUGUGCGAAAGCACGAUAAGGGAACUCUGAGUGCCUCCUAUGGAGGCUGUUCAGGUGUCUAAAAAGCACUUGAAGUAAGGGCUGGGUAAGACCGGUGCCAGCCGCCGCGGUAACACCGGCAGCCCAAGUGGUAGCCACGAUUAUUGGGUCUAAAGCGUCCGUAGCCGGCCAGGUAAGUUCUUUGGGAAAUUUAACCGCUCAACGGUUAAGCUUUCAGGGAAUACUGCUUGGCUUGGGACCGGGAGAGGUCAGAGGUACUUCAAGGGUAGGGGUGAAAUCCGUUAAUCCUUGAGGGACCCCCAGUAGCGAAGGCGUCUGACCAAACCGGGUCCGACGGUGAGGGACGAAGGCUAGGGUCGCGAACCGGAUUAGAUACCCGGGUAGUCCUAGCUGUAGACGAUGCGG